GACAUUGAAACACCAGUUCCCGUUCGAUUGCUGAAGUUAAGCAAUGAUGAACAUGGUCAGUAUUCAGAUGGGUGACCGCUGGGGAAUACCAGGUUCUGUAAG